GCUUUAAGGCAGUUUUUUGGCCACCCCCGUUCUAUCUUGGGUCCUUUCAGAACAACAACAUGGCGGUCCUACACCGGUGGAAGCGGAUUCAAUGUUUACACGUUUUCACAAGAAACCUCACGGGUGCAGGGCGUGUUUUGCUAGCGGUGACCACAAAAAGCUUGUUAUCACAGUUGAUGAUGGGAAGUGGUUUGCCAUGAAGAUCUCCCAGCUCCAAAGCCACAGUAAAGAACCACAGACCAUAUCUGCAGUGCCAGUGUCCCCUGUGAACAACUGGGGAAAUUUUCCCUCUCACCCGGUUUCAGGGAUGUCCAACUAUGGACACAUUUACCAUUUUGUGUUGGAAUCCAUAAAGUUUGUUAAUCCAGAGGAGAAUGGCAAUGAUMAUGAAAUGUCAUUGGCUUGGCUAUAUUAGCAUGUCCAGAUUUUUUGAAUGUACUUGAACUAUUUUGGUUGUCAGACAGAAGUCUAUUCAGUGACAUCAUUUGUGCACAGCUGCUACUACUAAUCAUCUUUGAUUCUUUAUUAACUGUUUUUUGUUAUUUAAAAAAUAUUCAUUUAUUUGAAUGCUGUGUACAGUGUACACUGGUGGUUUUUGAAUAAAAGAGCAAAAUCGGCAA